rnacentral:rRNA from 1 species
GACGAACGCUGGCGGCGUGCUUAACACAUGCAAGUCGAACGGAAAGGCCCUGCUUUUGUGGGGUGCUCGAGUGGCGAACGGGUGAGUAACACGUGAGUAACCUGCCCUUGACUUUGGGAUAACUUCAGGAAACUGGGGCUAAUACCGGAUAGGAGCUCCUGCUGCAUGGUGGGGGUUGGAAAGUUUCGGCGGUUGGGGAUGGACUCGCGGCUUAUCAGCUUGUUGGUGGGGUAGUGGCUUACCAAGGCUUUGACGGGUAGCCGGCCUGAGAGGGUGACCGGCCACAUUAGGACGGAGAUACGGCCCAGACUCCUACGGGAGGCAGAAGUGGGGAAUAGUGCACAAUGGGCGGAAGCCUGAUGCAGCAACGCCGCGUGCGGGAUAACGGCCUUCGGGUUGUAAACCGCUUUCGCCUGUGACGAAGCGUGAGUGACGGUAAUGGGUAAAGAAGCACCGGCUAACUACGUG